rnacentral:rRNA from 1 species
GACGAACGCUGGCGGCGUGCUUAACACAUGCAAGUCGAACGAAGAGCGAUGGAAGCUUGCUUCUAUCAAUCUUAGUGGCGAACGGGUGAGUAACGCGUAAUCAACCUGCCCUUCAGAGGGGGACAACAGUUGGAAACGACUGCUAAUACCGCAUACGAUCUAAUCUCGGCAUCGAGGAUAGAUGAAAGGUGGCCUCUACAUGUAAGCUAUCACUGAAGGAGGGGAUUGCGUCUGAUUAGCUAGUUGGAGGGGUAACGGCCCACCAAGGCGAUGAUCAGUAGCCGGUAGGAGAGGAUGAAGGGACACAUUGGGACAGAGACAAGGCACAGAAAGCUACAGGAGGCAGCAGAGGGGAAGAGUCCGCAAUGGACGAAAGUAUGACGAAAGAACGCCGAGUGGGAGAUAACGGACUUCGGGUUGUAAAGCUGGGUGAAUCGGGACGAAAGGCCUUAAAGCGAAUAGAGAGAAGGAUAGACGGUACAGGAAAAGAAAGACACGGAGAAAUACGAG